rnacentral:rRNA from 1 species
AAAGAUACCCGGGUAGUCCACGCCGUAAACGAUGAGUGCUAAGUGUUAGAGGGUUUCCGCCCUUUAGUGCUGCAGCAAACGCAUUAAGCACUCCGCCUGGGGAGUACGGUCGCAAGACUGAAACUCAAAGGAAUUGACGGGGGCCCGCACAAGCGGUGGAGCAUGUGGUUUAAUUCGAAGCAACGCGAAGAACCUUACCAGGUCUUGACAUCCCGUGACAACUCUAGAGAUAGGGCUUUCCCCUUCGGGGGACACGGUGACAGGUGGUGCAUGGUUGUCGUCAGCUCGUGUCGUGAGAUGUUGGGUUAAGUCCCGCAACGAGCGCAACCCUUGAUCUUAGUUGCCAGCAUUCAGUUGGGCACUCUAAGGUGACUGCCGGUGACAAACCGGAGGAAGGUGGGGAUGACGUCAAAUCAUCAUGCCCCUUAUGACCUGGGCUACACACGUGCUACAAUGGAUGGUACAAAGGGCAGCGAAACCGCGAGGUUAAGCCAAUCCCAUAAAACCAUUCUCAGUUCGGAUUGCAGG